AGUUUGAGACACCGCACUAGCCCAACGUCACGUCACUGUUUCGGACUUGUUCAAAAUUCCUCGUCAAGCUUUGCCAGAAUGCCGGUAUACUACGGCGGUUUUGUCGGGGGGCCCCAUGGCGGCGGCUACUGCCUGUACUCGUACAGCCAAUGCCAGCCAUCGACUGGGGGCUGCGGGCCCGCGAGUCCCCCACCGGGGCCCAGCUGCCCUCUCUCUUGCUGAACUGGCUGAUUGCUUUUAUAUCCCAUCAGAGCUGAGUUCAGAGAGCAUCGUGCGGGAGAACCUGUGUUUCGUGAUAUCGCUCGUCAUGUUUGUGCUGCUGACCUGGGUCUCCGUCCGAGGCUACUGCUCCGGGCUGGAGAAAGCUCCGUUCUAUAGUGAUUAUUCAAUACAUGUUUAAAAAUUA